UUGGAGGGCAAGUCUGGUGCCAGCAGCCGCGGUAAUUCCAGCUCCAAUAGCGUAUAUUAAAGUUGUUGCAGUUAAAAAGCUCGUAGUUGAAUUUCGGGAUCAGAGUGUCGGUCGUGCCUCGGUACGCACUGGUAUUAUUGGUUCCUACCUUCUGAAGAACCGCGAUGUCAUUAAUUUGGUGUCGUGGGGAAUCAGGACUGUUACUUUGAAAAAAUUAGAGUGUUUAAAGCAGGCUUACGCUUGAAUACAUAGCAUGGAAUAAUGAAAUAGGACGUUUGAUUCUAUUUUGUUGGUUUCUAGGAUUGACGUAAUGAUUAAUAGGGAUAGUUGGGGGCAUUAGUAUUCAAUUGUCAGAGGUGAAAUUCUUGGAUUUAUUGAAGACUAACUACUGCGAAAGCAUUUGCCAAGGAUGUUUUCAUUAAUCAAGAACGAAAGUUAGGGGAUCGAAGACGAUCAGAUACCGUCGUAGUCUUAACCAUAAACUAUGCCGACUAGGAAUCAGACGAUGUUAAUUUUUUAAUGACUCGUUUGGCACCUUACGGGAAACCAAAGUGUUUGGGUUC
rnacentral:rRNA from 1 species